AAAACUGCAUCUGGAUUGAUC
rnacentral:miRNA from 1 species